rnacentral:rRNA from 1 species
GUUGUGAUUUCAUUAAUCGCUUCGGAGCGCGGGCGGUCGCGGCCGUUAAAUCUUUUACAAGGUUGACCUCGGAUCAGGUAGGGAUACCCGCUGAACUUAAGCAUAUCAAUA